UACGGGGGGGGCAAGCGUUGUUCGGAAUUACUGGGCGUAAAGGGCUCGUAGGUGGCCAACUAAGUCAGACGUGAAAUCCCUCGGCUUAACCGGGGAACUGCGUCUGAUACUGGAUGGCUAGAGAUUGGGAGAGGGAUGCGGAAUUCCAGGUGUAGCGGUGAAAUGCGUAGAUAUCUGGAGGAACACCGGUGGCGGAGGCGGCAUCCUGGACCAACACUGACGCUGAGGAGCGAAAGCCAGGGGAGCAAACGGG
rnacentral:rRNA from 1 species